GGGUUAGUAGGUUGGUCAUGCCUCCGGUAUGUACUGGCCUCACUGAUUCCUCCUUCCUGAUGAACCGUAAUGCCAUUAAUUUGGUGUUUUGGGGAAUUUGGACUGUUACUUUGAAAAAAUUAGAGUGUUUAAAGCAAGCUAACGCUUGAAUACAUUAGCAUGGAAUAAUGAAAUAGGACGUUCGAUCCUAUUUUGUUGGUUUCUAGGAUUGACGUA
rnacentral:rRNA from 1 species